rnacentral:rRNA from 1 species
UGGGGAAUCUUCCGCAAUGGGCGCAAGCCUGACGGAGCAACGCCGCGUGAGUGAAGAAGGUUUUCGGAUCGUAAAGCUCUGUUGAGAGGGACGAGAGGCAAGGCUAGGAAAUGAGCUUUGUAGGACGGUACCUUUCGAGGAAGCCACGGCUAACUACGUGCCAGCAGCCGCGGUAAUACGUAGGUGGCGAGCGUUGUCCGGAAUUAUUGGGCGUAAAAGGGAGCGCAGGUGGGAAAGUAAGUCAGUCUUAAAAGUGCGGGGCUCAACCCCGUGAGGGGAUUGAAACUACUUUUCUUGAGUGCAGGAGAGGAAAGCGGAAUUCCUAGUGUAGCGGUGAAAUGCGUAGAUAUUAGGAGGAACACCAGUGGCGAAGGCGGCUUUCUGGACUGUAACUGACACUGAGGCUCGAAAGCCAGGGGAGCGAACGGGAUUAGAUACCCUGGUAGU